AGCUCCACCCUCCUGUGAGCAGUCUUGCUAUGAGACAGCGUCCCAGGAAACGUCCUGUGCAUAGUGAAGUGCUGCCUCUGAGCUGUGUUUUCAGGCCUUUCCUGGCAAUUUCUGUCCAAUGUCCUGGCUGCCACUCGACCCAGACAUCCCACUCUGCUCCCUGCUGAGCCCCCAUGCCCUCCAUGCCAAGGCCAGAGGUCCCUUUCCCUAGUCCUCUGGAUGUCACACACCUCAGAACUGUGGCCUGCAAAUGUCUGACUUCCGGGAGCAGCUGCUGGCCUGCGCUGGGAUGGAAGCGGAGUAUGUGGUGGAGUUUUCCUGUGAUCUUCCAAGAGCCCAAGUGAGCCAGCCAGAUGGAGCAGGUCCUGGCGGCAUAUGCCCAGUGAGUUAAGAGCUGUGUCCAGCCAGAAGGCCCAGUGACUGGGGCCCUGGUCCUCUCCGUGGUGGGAGGAAAGAUGAUCAAAGGGAUCAGCCUCUUUGAUGACCUUGGCUGCCUAGGACCCCAGGGCAGGUCCCUCCCAGGAAGGCGCUGGCAGAGAACCCAUGCAUGAAGGCUGUCAACCAGUCCAUAGGUGAGCCUGGGGCUAUCCUGGGGCUGUCCUGGGUCUCGGACACACAGCUGGGACAGAUGCAUGGCUGGCAGGAGAUGACAGGAAGGGGAUCUUACCUGUCCUCUCUCCCAUCUGAG
ensembl:lncRNA